rnacentral:rRNA from 1 species
AGUGGCGGACGGGUGAGUAACGCGUGGAUAACCUGCCUUAAUGACCGGGAUAACACCGGGAAACUGGUGCUAAUACGGGAUACGCUCAAGUGAACACAUGUUUGUUUGAGGAAAAGGAGCAAUCCGCAUUAAGAUGGGUCCGCGUCCCAUUAGCUAGUUGGAGGUGUAAGAGACCCCCAAGGCGACGAUGGGUAGCCGGCCUGAGAGGGUGAACGGCCACACUGGAACUGAGACACGGUCCAGACUCCUACGGGAGGCAGCAGUGGGGAAUCUUCCGCAAUGGGCGAAAGCCCUGACGGAGCAACGCCGCGUGAAUGAUGUAAGGCCGUUCGGGUUGUAAAAUUCUGUCUUCAGGGAAGAAACAAAUGACGGUACCUGAGGAGGAAGCCCCGGCUAACUACGUGCCAGCAGCCGC